CCGAACCCGUGACGGUGACGGAUGCAACCUCGCAAGGUUUGUUGGUCGUCUUCUCUUUCAGAGAACCACGGUUACGAAGCAGUUUGUAAAUCCUAUAACGUGCGUCCAGUGCUCCGAAAACUGUGCGUGCUCAGCACUUCUCCUGUGCCAGAUACAGCUACCCAGCUGAACCAAGAGACAAAAAAGAUCUAGAAGCUUUUUUCUGAAAAAAACAGUUACUACACUCAGGGGGGAUGCACAGCUAGUCCUACUGAACCUCCACUCCCGACUGAGGGAGCCGUGCAGCACUGAGCGACGCUCUUGCACGCCACUUUGGGAACCUGACUGACCCAGAGGGACUGAAACUCUGGCUAUGACACCACCUGUAUCAGCUGGGUGAGACCCUAGUCAGUCUAGGAUCGGGUCCCACGGAUACUCUACUGGAUCGAGAUCCGGGAUUGUGCUGGCCAAGGAAGAGGACGCUUUUAUAGUCUUCCAAUCAUGGACAAUGCCAACCCAGUGGAGGAAUUCUGAAAGGUUCAAUUUUCUUUACAACCUACUAAACUGCUAGAGAGAGAUUUAAGACAGAAUUCAGCUCUAGUGCCCUGUUGUAUGCAGUAGUUUAAAUUUAUGAGCUUCAACAAAAAGGAAAUUAACAUCAUGGAGUUUUGGUAAGAGCCCAGUUAGAUUAACGUAGUUAGGGUUCACUGUAGCAUUUCUAAGAAUGCAGUGUUCACAUUUCCAUAAAGUUUGUGUGCAGAUGUAGUCUCUUAUUAACAAUACAGUGCAGCAACACACCUCACUAAAAUGAUGGUGUACUUGGAGUACAGCCAGAAUUACAUGUCAACCAAAUGCAGGCUGCAACAAAUAAUUCAGUGCUACAGUAGGACAUUACUGUAGUGGCAUCUUACAGAUACUUUUAUUUACUGUUAUUACAAAACAUAUUUAAUUGUUGUGUCUUGUUUUCUCAGAGCAAAUAAGAGGGUCUGAAGUGUUUUGUGGUCAUUGGCAAGGCCUGUUUAAGAUCUAGUUUUCUGAGUGUAUUCAUAGAAAAACGUAUUAUUUAAUGAUGAACAUAACAUUUGGAAAAAAGAAAAGCAAUAUCGUGUAUCCGUGUGGUUCGUCGGAAAUUAAAAUUUGUUUCUAGGUCACAAAUUGAAUGACAACAUGCGUUUCAACAAAAUUGAAAUUCUCAUUCAUGCAAUCUCCCUCAUCUAUUAAAUACACACUUGGUAGAUAAUUUAAAAAAAGCAAAGAUGCUUCUUAUUGAUUCAAAAGGAAAUGUUACGCUACUUAUCAGCAGUGGUCCCAAGACCUGCUAAAAUCAUUGUUGAAGAGUUGUUAUAAAAAUGACAAGAAUCAAAGAAAAGGCCACUAAUCCAAUAACCAUUCAACUCACUUUUUUUUUUUUUUUUUUUUUAAUAAUUUAAUUAGAAUUAUGCAGAUUGUUUAAAUAUAAUAUUAUGAUGAAAAUAUUGCUACUGCACUUCUUGGUGCCUAAAUACUUCAGGUGUUGUAGUUUAGCUUCACUCCAAUGGUCUAGCUGUAAUUGUAUUUGCAAUAUUUACAUAUCCUGAAUUACUGUAAAGAAAACAAGGACUAAAAGAUUCUCAUCACAAUAAUAAUGUUAAUAAAGCUGAUUAGAGCUCACAAAAUGCAUUGGUUAGCAUUUUUUUUAAAAAGCAGAUCCUCAUAUUGUUAUACACAAUUUCUCUACGGUAUGUAUCCAUUUUAUUUUUUUUAUGGCAGGUAUUUUUUGUUGCAUGUUUUUGAGUAUACAUGAAGAUGAUUGUAUCCAGGCUGGCAAUGAAGGCUGAGAACCACUCUGUUCUCCUAAUAGAGACAGUAUGUUGCAGCUGUUACAACUGUUGCCAUGGCAACAUAUUAACAGUACUUGUCAGUGCAUGAAUAGAGUGGAUUAUAUGCACAUUACAUUCCAGUGCUCUACAUAAAAAUUAAUAUAUCACGCAAACCUGUGUAAUCACCAUGUCUUGCAAGCAAGCUAUCUUUCAUUAACAAAGACACCUGCAAUCAGUUUGGAGUACAAACUGUUUUUGCGGUAGUGUGAAAGAUGAUUUAUCCUCAUGACCUGGCUCUUGCUUAGUGGGUCUGGAUCUGUAGAGUAUUAAUCUAUCAAGGAAUCAAACAGAGAUCAUUCCAGUCUAGUUACUUUAUGAACAUUUCACUACAGUACAACAUGUCUAACCCUAUGCUUUUACCUCCUCCAAGUUAUACUAACAGGAGUGUGCCACCACCUGACAUAUUCUAGUCUGGACAUUUCAGUUUGGUGAUAAUAAAUAAACAUGUCAUAAAAUAAUAAGUGAUAUUAAACAACUUUGACUGCAGGUAUAUUCUUGCUUAUGGAGGCACCUACUAUCAGCUUGCUUUCAAAAUGUUACAGCUGCUGUCCUGCGGAUCGUGAUUAAUACUGACAUAGUGGUUAGAUUAGACACAUUUGCAGAGCACAACCAGUUCUUGUAGUUAAAUAUUGUAUCUUCUGCCCCCAAGUGAUUUUUUUUCUUCAGAUGUUGUAUGUGAUCAAACUACACAUGUGACAUCACAUGAAUAAAGACCACGGUGCUCAUUUGCGCACUGGAAUAGAAGUGUGCUGGAAACAGAAACACACGUACAUUUUAAGGAACAUUCUUUUUACAUACAGUCAAUUUCACUGCGCUAAAUUCUAUUAGAUAACUCUAACCU